rnacentral:rRNA from 1 species
GACGAACGCUGGCGGCGUGCUUAACACAUGCAAGUCGAACGGAAAGGCCCUGCUUGCAGGGUACUCGAGUGGCGAACAGGUGAGUAACACGUGGGUGAUCUGCCCUGCACUUCGGGAUAAGCCUGGGAAACUGGGUCUAAUACCGGAUAGGAGCCAUUUUUAGUGUGAUGGUUGGAAAGUUUUUUCGGUGUAGGAUGAGCUCGCGGCCUAUCAGCUUGUUGGUGGGGUAAUGGCCUACCAAGGCGGCGACGGGUAGCCGGCCUGAGAGGGUGGACGGCCACAUUGGGACUGAGGUACGGCCCAGACUCCUACGGGAGGCAGCAGUGGGGAAGAUUGCACAAUGGGCGCAAGCCUGAUGCAGCGACGCCGCGGGGGGGAUGACGGCCUUCGGGUUGUAAACUCCUUUCGCUAGGGACGAAGCUUUUUGUGACGGUACCUAGAUAAGAAGCACCGGCUAACUACGUG